AGCAGCCGCGGUAAUUCCAGCUCCAAUAGCGUAUAUUAAAGUUGUUGCAGUUAAAAAGCUCGUAGUUGAAUUUCGGGGUCAGUAGAUUGGUCGUGCCACUGGUAUGUACUGGUCUCACUGGCUCCUCCUUCCUGAUGAACCGUAAUGCCAUUAAUUUGGUGUUGCGGGGAGACUGGACUGUUACUUAGAAAAAAUUAGAGUGUUUAAAGCAGGCUAACGCUUGAAUACAUUAGCAUGGAAUAAUGAAAUAGGACGUUCGAUCUUAUUUUGUUGGUUUCUAAGAUUGACGUAAUGAUUAAUAGGGAUAGUUGGGGGCAUUAGUAUUCAAUUGUCAGAGGUGAAAUUCUGG
rnacentral:rRNA from 1 species